rnacentral:rRNA from 1 species
AUACGGAGGAUGCAAGCGUUAUUCGGAAUCACUGGGCGUAAAGGACGCGUAGGCGGGUUGGCAAGUCAGAUGUGAAAUCCUACAGCUUAACUGUAGAACUGCAUUUGAAACUGCUAACCUAGAGUAUGGGAGGGGGAGAUGGAAUUAGUGGUGUAGGGGUAAAAUCCGUAGAUAUCACUAGGAAUACCGAAAGCGAAGGCGAUCUCCUGGAACAUAACUGACGCUAAGGCGUGAAAGCGUGGGGAGCAAACAGGAUUAGAAACCCCAGUAGUCC